AAACUGCUAAUCUUCGAUACCACUUUAUACUCACGAUCUUGUAUCCACUGACUGUCUCGUUAGAUUAACCCAAUAAAUUUCAUUCACUCCGCAUACUCAAUCCUAUAGACACCCUUUUAAUUCUUCAAUCACAGACGUAACUUCGAUUUCACAAAACAGUCAAGAAUAAUCACACCCACUUCAUUAAAAAUCCCAAUUCACCAUUACAACACUGACUUUAGCAACUAUUGCCUCAGUCUUCCCAAAACCCUAUGAAGAAAAAAAAUCCAAUUCUCUAUCUUUUUUCCCCUUUCCAAAGCAUGAAGCUAGCUCUCCGAUCCUUCAAAACCCCUCAAAACCUCAUUCUCUCCCCUCAAAAACCUUAACCUAUUCUCCCCUUUAACCCUAAUUCUCUCCUCUCUCAAAUCCUAGCCUCUGAAUUUCUUCAAUCUUCCAUCUUGGAUCCGGAAUUGGCUCCCGCCGUCAG
rnacentral:lncRNA from 1 species